AUAAAAAAAAUAAAAAUUUACAAGAUUUGCUUAAACCUUCUUUAUAUAAAAUAUUAAGAGUUAAAAAAAUAAUUAUUAUGAAUAAAAAAAACAAUAUUAAAUUGUUUUGAAUGUAAGAUUUAUCCCGUUAACUUGACUAUAUCCAUUUUAAAUGAUCAAUGUAAUAAAUCAUAAAUGAGCUCUUUUAUAAUUUAUUACCCUUUCUUUUCUAUUGGGGCUUAUUUUAUUGUAAAGUAAACACAAUUUUCUAUUCUACCCAAGGAAAAUAAAUUUGGGGGUGAAAUGUCAAGAUAGGAUCUCUCCAAAAAGGUUUGGAGAUUCUCGAAAGCUUGAAUUAGUAAUGUCUAAUACAAUCACAAAUGGAAUUCCAGACAUCCACCAUAAACGCAAAAAGGUGCUCUCGUUUUGUGACAUUCUAUUCACCGUGAUUUCUUUAUCGACUUAUUUGUGCAUAAUAGUUUUCGAUUUGGUUAUUUUACAAACUCUAUUUGCUCUUAAAAGUGACCAGAGGAAGGAACCCGAUCAAGCGAAACGAAGAGGGUCCCAUAUAGAACCUUGGUUUUGGUUGACUUCUUUUUUUAUGUUCGUUUAUUUCCUAUCAUCUCAAAUAGUAUCUCUAAGUUGGUAUAAUGAGGAAUUUAGGAGGGGCUUCUUGACUCGGGCUAAAAGAACCCAUAUUUUGGGCCGAUUAAACCAUGUAAAAUCCUUAACUCCUCACACAGAACAAAUAAUGCCCGUAGACGACCAGAGUUUAGUUAAAAAUUAUUUAUCCUCCCGGUUUUACGUGUUUGAUUUGCUCAAGGAAUUCGCUCCUUUACUCGUUGUUCAUCUUCUGCAACUCCACGUAGUGUGGAGGCAUUGCAAAAUAUUUUUGCCCGGUGACCCCAAAAAGCAAGAGACCGAAUUUUGUAGGCUCUCCGUGCUAAGACUUUACCAAGGCAUGAUACAGGGUAUUCCCUUGUUUUUAAUCAAAUGUUACCUACUAGUAAACCAUUUUAGUAAUAUCAACUUAGAACACGGAAAUAAUUUAUAUGACUAUGGGAAACCCGGGUUUUGGACCGAAAAUUUUUUUCAGGAUGCCUCACAUAUUAACGUUGGUUUAAAUGUAAAUCCUAAAUUGUUACAACCUGAACGUAUUAAAAUCGAGCUCGAAGAACCGUUCCUUUUUGUUAUCUCGGCUCUUAUAUCCCUCUUUUGCGUAACUUGGUCCUUGGCCUCAUUCGAUAAGAAAGUUCUCCUGUCAUUUUCCUAUCCUUCCAUGUCCUAUAAUCGUUCUUCUACCGUUAUAAGUUUUACUUGGACCGGCAUCAUCUUCAAGCUAUUGGCCAACGCUUCUUUAUUCGCGUCGCGCUGUUUAGUCUUGCUGCUUUUCGCCCUUUCUUGCGUUCGCUGGACGAUACUGUUGGUAGGUUUUCAUUGGGCCUUCACCGCGGUUUGGUUGCAACGGGAAAGACUUAUUUUUGAUAAGAGCGCAGUAAUACCACCCCCACACUCUAUUAUAAAUGUCGCGGUUAGUAGAGAAGAAAAAGGCAAAUUAGCCUAUAUCGACGAAUGUUGCACACAUUCUUUGCUCGCUCCUCAUACGGGACCAAAUGUUUUAGAUAAAGAAAUUUCCAUUUCAAAUAAAAUAAACACAGUUAGAACUGGAGGUAUUUCCACGCCAGGGAGUAAAACUCGCAUGGCCUGUUUUUUUAAAAAAUUAGGGUGGUCGGUGGCCAUUGCCGCGGUAUACGUGUUUUGUUUCAUCGACCUACAAACUGGCAAUAGCAAAUUCCGAUUGACAACUUAUUACGUAGUAAUUUUCGUAGAAAAUACUUUAAUGGUGACGGUUUGGCUGCACCGAGCGCAGAUGGGCUCCAUAAAACUCAGACUUUUAGCCUUAUUGACCUCUUAUUCCGCCUUUUUUGUGGGAAUACUAUUUUUGCUAGCUUAUUACAAAUGGUUUCAUGUGGGAAACGACGAUUUACUCAACAUCAAUUAUAUGGAGGGGUAUAAUACUCACAAAACGCAUUCAAAUAGUUCAAACAAUAGCUCGAGCAAUCAUACCAAAAUAGAUCGUAAGCUCGCUUCUCGCUAUUCUUCCCCUACUAAUAAAAAGCUCAUUUAUACUAACCAAUCAUCUCCUAUUAACAAUAACAGGGUACAUAAAAAUUGCGCGUAUAAUAAAUUCCACGCUCCAAAAUUGAAUGUUUCUAGUCCAAGGCACGACCAUAAAUGUCACAAUAUUAAAAUAGGCCUGCCCCCGUCAAGAUCUAAGGACCCAUACAAUCAGGCACCUUCAGAAGAUCGAUCGUCAUUCCGUAAUCAUUUCUCGGAUCGUUCGCGCAGAAUUACUCAAAUUUCUCCACCGAACGAUCAAAAACCUAAUUUUAAGAAACGCGUUCGCGUGGAUAAUCAAAAUUACCAGCAUUGCGCAUGUUAUAAAAAAGGAAAAAUAAAUUCAAGUACCACAUAUUUUCGUAACGCCGAUUCCCCCAACUGCACGAAUAAUCAUUCAACAUCGGCGACCUCCAACAGAGACAACGGAUGCGCUAACGGAUUUAUAUCGUGUUAUCAAAGUCAAAAUCACGAUUGGUGUCAUAAUAAAAAUUCGCAAAAUAUACAGGGUACUAACGAAUGUAUUAUUAAUAAUGCGCGAAAUCAUACCAACGGAUUAGCGCGAAUUCAUAGACAGGGAGAGGGUAUUCCUAAAUGCAAAACGUAAAUUAAUAAAUUGAACUAGGAUAUAAAAUUUUAAUUCUCAAAGUUUAAAUAAAUAUACUGUAUCGGUUAAAAUUCUGAGCAAUAAUAAAGCGUACCAAAAAGGAUAAAACAAGAUAUGGAUACUUUUUACCCUUCCGUUGAAAAAAUAAAAAACUGUAUUAUUAUAAAAUGAAAUUUGCUUCGAUUCACAUUUAAAAUAUAGUUUCUUAUUAUAAAAUCAAGAGUAAUUAUAUAAAAUCAGAUUAUAAAUAUUUAUAAUGCAAUAAUAUCUAUUUGUACAGAAAAUUUUACAGUAAUUUACAUAUAAAUUAUGAUUAUUAUACAUUUAAUUUAUUUCAAGAAAAACAUAAA